rnacentral:rRNA from 1 species
UACGUAGGUGGCAAGCGUUGUCCGGAUUUACUGGGCGUAAAGCGCACGUAGUCGGCUUUGCAAGUCGGGUGUGAAAUCCCCGGGCUCAACCUGGGAACUGCAUCCGAGACUGCAUUGCUAGAGUACGGGAGAGGGAAGCGGAAUUUCUGGUGUAGCAGUGAAAUGCGUAGAUAUCAGAAGGAACAUCAGUGGCGAAGGCGGCUUCCUGGACCAAUACUGACGAUCAGGUGCGAAAGCGUGGGGAGCAAACAGG